rnacentral:rRNA from 1 species
AACUGGGGUGAGCGAAAGCUUGCCACGGACGUUGAACACUGGGUGGGUUGAAAGACUUGCUCAGUUUCAAUUCCACCAGUUCUCUGCAGAAGGUGACUCUCUGCUCUUGACUGGGUGGGGGUGUUCGCCUCUUGCCGUUUACUUUGAAAAAAUUAGGGUGUUCAAAGCAGGUUUUAAUUGCCGGUAUAGAUUAGCAUGGGAUAAUGGAAUACGGCUCGGUUGCUGUGUCUCGUUGGUUGAGUAGCUGGGCA